GACGAACGCUGGCGGCGUGCCUAAUACAUGCCAGUCGAACGCUUCUUUCCUCCCGAUUGCUUGCACUCAAUUGGAAAGAGGGGUUGCGUACGGGUUAGUAACACGUCGGUAACCUACCCAUCAGAUGGGGAUAACACUUGGAAACAGGUGCUAAUACCGCAUAACAGUUUAUGCCGCAUGGCAUAAGAGUUAUAGGCUCUUUCGGAGGUCGCUGAUGGAUGGACCCGCGGUGCAUUAGCUAGUUGGUGAGGUAACGGCUCACCAAGGCCACGAUGCGUAGCCGACCUGAGAGGGUGAUCGGCCACACUGGGACUGAGACACGGCCCAGACUCCUACGGGAGGCAGCAGUAGGGAAUCUUCGGCAAUGGACGAAAGUCUGACCGAGCAACGCCGCGUGAGUGAAGAAGGUUUUCGGAUCGUAAAACUCUGUUGUUAGAGAAGAACAAGGACGUUAGUAACUGAACGUCUCCUGACGGUAUCUAACCAGAAAGCCACGGCUAACUACGUG
rnacentral:rRNA from 1 species